GAUCAAUUCUUCAAGUUCUCCCAGAAAUCAAUCUUCUUCAAAUCAUAAACUAAUGUUGUGGAUGUUUUAUGAAAUUUUCAUGUUUUCAUCUAUUGGCAGAGAGGUGGUAAGAGUGGUCAUUUGUUUGUGGAUACAAAGACAACUUAGGAUCUGCAUAGCCCUUCAUUAAACCAAAGGGAUCUUUCAGAAAUAGAGGACAAACCACAAAAAUCUCUUAAUGAGAAACAGCAAGAGAAUCAAGAGCUUUUUAUCCGAUGUAUUGGACAACACCUAGGCUUCGCAGGGAACAGACCAAUUGCUGCUUGUAUCAUCUACAAAUGCCUUCUACAGUGGAGAUCUUUUGAAGUUGAGCAGACUAGUGUGUUUGACCGAAUCAUUCGAACCAUAGGCCAUGCUAUCGAGACCCAGCAUAACAAUGACAUCUUAGUCUAUUGGUUGUCUAAUUCCUCAUCUCUUCUGCUGCUACUCCAGCGUACAUUGAAAGCAAAUGGUGCCGCUAGAAUGGGCGCCGUCGAUUAUCCUCGGCUACUCUGUUUGGAAGGAUGACACAGAGUUUCCGAGGAACUCCGCAAGGAGUUAAUCUUUCCUUUGUAAAUGGUGGCCUGACUGGUGGAACAGAAGCUUUACACCAAGUUGAAGCCAAAUACCCAGCUUUGCUUUUCAAGCAGCAACUUACAGCAUUUGUAGAAAAGAUUUAUGGAAUGAUUCGAGAUAGCCUUAAGAAAGAGAUUUCUCCAUUGCUUGGGUUGUGCAUCCAGGUAAUUGAAUCUGUUGGGUAAUAUGAGUCAUUCAUCUUCCCAGGUAAGAAAUACUUCUUUACAUAUUUUUGGUCAAUUCUCAGAUCAUGUCAUUGUAGUUAAUAUACAUUAAUGGAUCAAAUUGAUGGUUCUCAUCACACACAUACUCAUUUAGUGUAUGCUAAUGCUUGAAAUGGUGUGUGGCCUUGUUACAUUCGGGGAGG